CCUACGGGUGGCAGCAGUCGAGAAUCAUUCACAAUGGGGGAAACCCUGAUGGUGCGACGCCGCGUGGGGGAAUGAAGGUCUUCGGAUUGUAAACCCCUGUCAUGUGGGAGCAAAUUAAAAAGAUAGUACCACAAUAGGAAGAGACGGCUAACUCUGUGCCAGCAGCCGCGGUAAUACAGAGGUCUCAAGCGUUGUUCGGAAUCACUGGGCGUAAGGCGUGCGUAGGCUGUUUCGUAAGUCGUGUGUGAAAGGCGCGGGCUCAACCCGCGGACGGCACAUGAUACUGCGAGACUAGAGUAAUGGAGGGGGAACCGGAAUUCUCGGUGUAGCAGUGAAAUGCGUAGAUAUCGAGAGGAACACUCGUGGCGAAGGCGGGUUCCUGGACAUUAACUGACGCUGAGGCACGAAGGCCAGGGGAGCGAAAGGGAUUAGAUACCCUAGUAGUC
rnacentral:rRNA from 1 species